rnacentral:sRNA from 1 species
GAAUCUCUCUCUCUCUGUCACUCUUCUUCUCCGUUCGAACAAACCAACCACAAAACAACCUUAAACUUCCACCAACGACGGAGUUAAGACCACCAUCGAACUCCUGGAGACUCCACGAUCACGUAGACACCAAUUUCAGGACAAUCCAAGCUCACAGUGAGCUUAGUGAGGUUCCAAGGAAGCUCGGAGUGCUUCGUUGGAAGUUUUUGGACGUAAGAACACGGAGAUCGAUAAGUUCAAAGUUUGGCCGGAGCUUUCGAGGCAUUUUCCGGCGAAUCCCCGGCGAGUUAGGCGUCGAGUUUCCGGCGACCUCCGAGGCUUUCGAGGCAGUUUCCGGCCAAACUACGGCGAACUAGGUGUUGGGAAAGGCGGCGAUCGUCGUGACGCCUUGAUGUGUGGUGCUAGGGAGUUGUUGGACGAACUCCAGGUAAGAAUUGAUUUAUGAUGCAUAU